rnacentral:rRNA from 1 species
GAUGAACGCUGGCGGCGUGCUUAACACAUGCAAGUCGAACGAAGCACUUUAUUUGAUUUCCUUCGGGACUGAUUAUUUUGUGACUGAGUGGCGGACGGGUGAGUAACGCGUGGGUAACCUGCCUUGUACAGGGGGAUAACAGUUGGAAACGGCUGCUAAUACCGCAUAAGCGCACAGCAUCGCAUGAUGCAGUGUGAAAAACUCCGGUGGUAUAAGAUGGACCCGCGUUGGAAUAGCUAGUUGGUGAGGUAACGGCCCACCAAGGCGACGAUCCAUAGCCGACCUGAGAGGGUGACCGGCCACAUUGGGACUGAGACACGGCCCAAACUCCUACGGGAGGCAGCAGUGGGGAAUAUUGCACAAUGGGCGAAAGCCUGAUGCAGCGACGCCGCGUGAGCGAAGAAGUAUUUCGGUAUGUAAAGCUCUAUCAGCAGGGAAGAUAAUGACGGUACCUGACGAAGAAGCACCGGCUAAAUACGUG